rnacentral:rRNA from 1 species
AGUGAACGCUGGCGGUAGGCCUAACACAUGCAAGUCGAACGGCAGCACAGGAGAGCUUGCUCUCUGGGUGGCGAGUGGCGGACGGGUGAGGAAUACAUCGGAAUCUACUCUGUCGUGGGGGAUAACGUAGGGAAACUUACGCUAAUACCGCAUACGACCUACGGGUGAAAGCAGGGGACCUUCGGGCCUUGCGCGAUUGAAUGAGCCGAUGUCGGAUUAGCUAGUUGGCGGGGUAAAGGCCCACCAAGGCGACGAUCCGUAGCUGGUCUGAGGAGAGGGUCAGCCACACUGGAACUGAGACACGGUCCAGACUCCUACGGGAGGCAGCAGUGGGGAAUAUUGGACAAUGGGCGGAAGCCUGAUCCAGCCGUACCGCGUGGGUGAAGAAGGCCUUCGGGUUGUAAAGCCCUUUUGUUGGGAAAGAAAUCCAGCUGGCGAAUACCCGGUUGGGAUGACGGUACCCAAAGAAUAAGCACCGGCUAACUUCGUGCCAGCAGCCGCAGUAA